rnacentral:rRNA from 1 species
ACCGGCAACAGCCCAAAACUCAAAGGACUUGGCGGUGCUUCACACCCUUCUAGAGGAGCCUGUUCUAUAAUCGAUAAACCCCGAUAAACCUCACCAAUCCUUGCUAAUACAGUCUAUAUACCGCCAUCUUCAGCAAACCCUAAAAAGGAACAAAAGUAAGCUCAAUCAUAGCACAUAAAGACGUUAGGUCAAGGUGUAACCUAUGGAGUGGGAAGAAAUGGGCUACAUUUUCUGUUUCAAGAAAAUUUAAUACGAAAGCUAUCAUGAAACUAAUAGCCAAAGGAGGAUUUAGCAGUAAACUGAGAAUAGAGUGCUUAGUUGAAUCAGGCCAUGAAGCACGCACACACCGCCCGUCACCCUCCUCAAGCAAAUACAGGACACUUAAAACCUAUUUAAACACACCAGUCACACAAGAGGAGACAAGU